GCUCGAUGUUUCUAACCGCCUCGCUCGUCGCAGCCGGGAGAGAGAGACGGUAGUGCACGUUUUUACGUUUGCUCGUCAGCUCCGUUGACUAACUGCGGUUCGGAAUAUAGAACGGAGCACGGUGCUCACGGUUCGCGUGAUCUGGUGUUCUGUUUUACUUUUAAUUUUUCAUUCGUUACAUUUUCCUUCCUCGUGGAUUACGAGCACGAUCUUAUAGUUACUCGCGCGCGUCAUUGUUUAUUUGGACACGGAGCUGACAAGACAAAGCUGCUCUCUCGGGGAUUUGAAGUUUAUCGUAAUCGUGUAUACAAGCGUCGUGCGGUACUGAAAGAGUUCCAACCACGGCCGUCCUCAAGGACGCGGAAGAUAAUCGAGUGUGAGGGAAAGCCUGAAAAACGAAACGGGUGAACGAAGGAGGAGGAACGCAGUGACUCGAAUCGGAGCGCGCGUCUACCAGUCAACCAAACCGCGACCAUUCAAUCAGUCAUUCAGUCAGUGCCGGUUCUACGCUUCGAACGUUUUCUCUCUGUCUGUUUAUACACACUAAGAAUUCUUCAAUGGUGGCCUCUCUGGUGUGUCUCGUUGGCAAGCGUCGAUGACUCUUUGUCCGUAAGUGAGAACGAGACACAGAAUACACACGGCAGUUUGAUCGAACGAAACGGAUCCCUGGUGCUGUUAACCGUUUUGUGCUCCAUCGUUUUAACAAUAUCAACUGAUAGACGCACGAAAUUAUUGCUGGCUACACGGCUGAUGAAGAAUGUGCCGCCACGGACACGGCCAGUGAAUGAUGUAUUCCUUACGUGAUAAUUUUCUUAUGUACGUUCAAUCCGUUGAUUGUUGGUGAUGAUUGUGCCUGGUUCGCUAAGUAUCCACGCCUCCACGUCGUCGAUAGCGAGGGAGGGAGCUUCUCCGCCGAUUGAAACGUCUCCAUCGUUAGACCAUCCCGUCUUUCUUCCCUUUGGUUUGGUGCACAUAGUCACAAGAGGAGAGACAAAGGGGGCUAAGUAGAAAAGAGAAGGAAAGGGCGGAGAGAAAGGAGCGACUUGAAAGAGAGAUUGUACCGUGGAAUAGGUCGAAAGGGGCAUGAUAAGCAAGGACACAGUUGUGCCACGAAAAUCAGGUGACCUGGUAGACAAGAGUCAAGCGUUCGGUAAGCGAAGAACGGGGAGACAUCGUUAUAUUCGACGUCGCGUUCCUCGGCAACGGAUGUCGGAAUGACGCGUCGAUCAAGCCGCGGCUGGCCAGAGGGUGCAAGGACUUUGUUAAAUCGGAGAAAGUGAUACACGGUCGUGUUUGUGUUGGCGGCGGCAAACAAGAGGUGAAGGAGGAAGUGGAGGAGAGAAGGAAUUGGCGAUCAUCAAAUUCAUUAUUAGUAAGGCCACGUCACGUGCCGUCCAGCCAGCGCUCACAAUAGACGGAGCAUUGUUUUCAUAAGCGAUCGCGGGCUCAUUGUCUCGUCACUCUCCAGCAGCAGCGGCGGAUAACGUCCUCCCGCCGCUAUCACGAUGUCGUUAUUAUGAGACCCAUUGCGCCGGUAGACUGACAACCUCUUUACACCUGACGGAAGACCAUCGACGGCUUUAUCUCCUUCAUCAAUCUCGGAAUUGAAAAAAAAAAUAGACGUGAACAAGAAGUUUCAGUAGACCAAUCGGAGAUAAAACGGAACAACCAAAGAAUUUUAUUCGAGGACGUGCAGCAAAGGAGGUCAAGGCUAAUUGACCGAGAUACAGUGAUCUCGUUUGACCUGAAAAAGGAGAAGACCGGAGUACCCUGUAUCUUGGAAUUUCCUCGCGUUGACGUAAUUCCGCGAGGACAGGUGACGAGACGUCUGUGUGGCUGUGCGUGGAGGAAGAGGCAGAGGGUCGAGUCGAUAAGGGAUAGAGAGGGGUGCGUGGUGAAACGCGACGAGAGGGUGAAGUGAAGGUGUUCUUGUGGGGUGCCAGAGUGAGCACGAUAGCACCUCUGGUGCCCUCGGCCGUGGGUCCCGAGGGGACGGACGCCAUGGCGGCCUCUUCGUCCUCGUCGAGCGGCGAGCAGCAAUACUCACUCAGGUGGAACGACUUCCACUCGAGCAUCCUCAGCUCAUUUCGUCAUCUGAGGGACGAAGAAGAUUUCGUGGAUGUGACCCUGGCAUGCGACAGUAGCAGCUUCACCGCACACAAGGUCGUUCUCUCUGCGUGUAGCCCUUACUUCCGUAGGCUCCUCAAGGUCAGUGAAUUUUUAUUCAUUCU